AGUAUUUUCCAGUUCAGGCAUACUUCACCGAGAUGCAAAGGCCUGGUCCCUACUCUGGGGCGGGGGGGCACUUUCUCUCUCUGGACCUCGAUUUUUAUAUCUGGAGUUCCGAUUUGUUUGUGAUGCUCAAGAUGCAGAGCAGAAUGAACACUGACCCUCCUGGGUGGUUGUGAGGAGGGAAGAGGUCCCCCAGGCCAGCUCCUGCUCAGCCUCCUCCGCCUCAAGCACAAGCCCGACCUGGAGCCCCACUGGGAACCAGACAGUUCCAUAAGGACCCAGGGGGACUGGGGGGCCACUGACCCCGCCCAGGUAUCUCCAAAGCUCCUUUCUCCUCACCACCGGUACCUGCCUGUGAGCUUCACAUAAUAGGCACUUCAUAAAUAAUUGUGAGGAAGCGAACGGAAUGUUCUUCUGCCCCUGCAGAAGCGCGCAUGUGUAGUUCUCAUUUCCUCCGCUGACCGGCUGAGGCAGUUAAAUAGCUAAGAGGGCUCCUGGGGGAAACCAAACGUUACGUUUAUGGAAAAGCUGCUUUUAGAUACUGGAGUGGCUUCCAAGUUCACCGCGGCCAUAAGUUAAGGAAGAUGAGCAACGUGAAAUGAGAAUAUUGUCAAAGAAAGAGCUUGGUGCUGGUUUGGGCCAGAAGCAAACAUUACAUAGGUGGAUGAUUAGAUGCUCAGGAAUUGAAAAUUUGUCCCAUGAGGAAAAUGAACAACAAAGGAACAAGAAAGUUGAGGAUAUUGAAAUGAAAAUAGAUGAAGUGAUGGUAUCUUAAACUUAAAGGGCAAGAAAACUUUCAGGAAGAAGCUAACAAUGGUUAUCUUCCUGUAUUGAGAAUUUCAGAUGCCUUUUUGAAAAUAUAUACAUAUACAAUGAUAUCUAUGAAUAAUACAUAUAUAUUAAUUUUUCAAGAGGUAAUGACUAUAUCUAUCUUCCUGGUGAAUUCUUGAUGAAUGACAAGUAGGAGAUACAAAAUAAAAUUUAUUGAAUAAAUAAAUGCUUAGAUACUUUUACAAUUAGCAUAUCAUUCACAUAACUAGACAAUAUUAAGGUAUUUGCUCCUCCUCCUCCUCCUCCUCUUCUUCUUCUUCUUCUUCUUCUUCUUUUUGUAGUACCAGGAUUGAACUUAGGACCUUGCACUUUCUAGGAAAGUGUGGUACCACUGAGCUAAAUCCCUGGCCCUGCUUUUUCUACUUUUUAAUUUGGAGUUGAAGCUGAGGCACUAGACCAAGACAUUAGGUAGCAUGUGGAAAAGUAAAAGUUCUAUAGAAACAGUAGCUUGAGCUUUGAAAGAAAAAAUGAGAGUUACAGCUCAGUGCCCCCCCCCGCCAUGAGUGAUGCCAAGCAGCAAAGCAGUAAUCUCCAACAAGCUUGUGUUCUAUGGCAUUAAAGGUCUAUGGAUCCCUUCUGAUAAACAGGAAGUAGUAUAAACACUGUGGAUCCCUUCUGACAGACAUAAAAACUAUGGAUCCUUUCUGAUAAACGGGAAGUGAUAUAAGAGAAUGCAUUCCAGACUCCCAAGCAGCUAACAAGCUCUGACAGAUCUUUGGGCUCUGCAUCUACUGCCCCAUUCUCAGUAUAGAUGCACGGUGCUGGGUUAUUGCAGGGAAACACUACUGUGAAGAGGUUGGAAACUCUAGCAACCCCAUGGCCUUAUUGUUUCUCAGUGUAAAGACUUCAGCCAUGAGAUUUCACAGAACACUGCAUCUACGACCUACUGCAAGGGGGCAUAAGAGGCAAAGUUAGCAAACGUGCCCCAGCUGAACACAGUGAAUGGUGGACAUGUGUCCCCAAAUCCUUUCUUUUAUUUCAUGGGAGCACAUCAGCCACCCACAGAAACACAGCAAUUUUUUUAAAGUAUAUUUAUGACAAUUUAAUGCAAUCAGCAAAAAAUUAGUGUGCAUCAGACAGUACGUGAAAUUAGGUGAGAAGAGGUAAGUUAAAGACAACACUUCUGGACAAUGCAUAAAUCAAAGAAACAUCUCACAGAAAUUAGAAAAUAUUUUGAACUGAGUGUUAAUGAAAAUAUAUAAUAUUGAAGCUGUAGGACACUGCUGAAGGAGAGCUUAGGCUCUAAAAAGGACAUUUAUGGCUCUAAGAACAACAAAAUGUCUAACAUCAGUUACCUAAAGUUCUAUCUCAACAAGCUAUAAGAAAAGAGCAAAGCAAUCCCAAAAUAAUUAGAAAGAAUACCUUACCAAAACUCAGUGAAACAGAAAACAG
rnacentral:lncRNA from 1 species